rnacentral:rRNA from 1 species
GUAGGGAAUAUUGCACAAUGGAGGAAACUCUGAUGCAGCGACGCCGCGUGAGUGAUGAAGGCCUUCGGGUCGUAAAGCUCUGUCGCAGGGGAAUAACACAAUGAAGGUACCCUGUAAGAAAGGAUCGGCUAACUUCGUGCCAGCAGCCGCGGUAAGACGAGGGAUCCUAGCGUUGUUCGGAAUCAUUGGGCGUAAAGCGGAGGUAGGUGGCUAUGUAAGUCAGAUGUGAAAGCCUGGGGCUCAACCCCAGAAGUGCAUUUGAUACUGCGUAGCUUGAGUGUCGGAGAGGUUACUAGAAUUGUUGGUGUAGUGGUGAAAUACGUAGAUAUCAACAGGAAUACCGGAGGCGAAGGCGGGUAACUGGCCGAACACUGACACUGAGAUCCGAAAGCGUGGGGAUCAAACAGGAUUAGAUACCCUAGUAGUCC